UACGGAGGGUGCGAGCGUUGUCCGGAAUCAUUGGGCGUAAAGGGCGCGUAGGUGGCGGGACAAGCGUGCGGUGAAAGCCUGGGGCUCAACCCCGGGUCGGCCGUGCGAACUGUUUUGCUUGAGCACUGUAGAGGCAGGCGGAAUUCCGGGUGUAGCGGUGGAAUGCGUAGAGAUCCGGAAGAACACCAGUGGCGAAGGCGAGUCCCUGGAAAACUCCUGACACUGAGGCACGAAAGCUAGGGGAGCAAACAGG
rnacentral:rRNA from 1 species